rnacentral:hammerhead_ribozyme from 1 species
AUCCAGCUGACGAGUCUCGAAUAGGACGAAAUGCGCAUCCUGGAU